UCUAAUAUGGCAGACUAGUGCCAUGGAUUUAAGCCCCAUUCAUAAAGUUAUCAACUUUUAUUAGAA
rnacentral:tRNA from 1 species